UACAGAGGGGGCAAGCGUUGUUCGGAAUUACUGGGCGUGAAGGGCGUGUAGGCGGUCGACUAAGUCAGACGGGAAAUCCCUCGGCUCAACCGGGGAACUGCGUCUGAUACUGGGUGGCUUGAAUCCGGGAGAGGGAUGCGGAAUUCCAGGUGUAGCGGUGAAAUGCGUAGAUAUCUGGAGGAACACCGGUGGCGAAGGCGGCAUCCUGGACCGGCAUUGACGCUGAGGCGCGAAAGCCAGGGGAGCAAACGGG
rnacentral:rRNA from 1 species